GAUGAACGCUAGCGGCAGGCUUAAUACAUGCAAGUCGUGGGGCAGCAUGAGUGUAGCAAUACAUUUGAUGGCGACCGGCAAACGGGUGCGGAACACGUACACAACCUUCCUAUAAGUGGGGAAUAGCCCAGAGAAAUUUGGAUUAAUACCCCGUAACAUAACGAUGUGGCAUCACAUUGUUAUUAUAGCUUCGGCGCUUAUUGAUGGGUGUGCGGCUGAUUAGAUAGUUGGCGGGGUAACGGCCCACCAAGUCUACGAUCAGUAGCUGAUGUGAGAGCAUGAUCAGCCACACGGGCACUGAGACACGGGCCCGACUCCUACGGGAGGCAGCAGUAAGGAAUAUUGGUCAAUGGACGCAAGUCUGAACCAGCCAUGCCGCGUGAAGGAUUAAGGUCCUCUGGAUUGUAAACUUCUUUUAUCUGGGACGAAAAAAGGCUUUUCCAAGUCACUCGACGGUACCAGAUGAAUAAGCACCGGCUAACUCCGUGCCAGCAGCCGCGGUAACAC
rnacentral:rRNA from 1 species